GAUGAACGUUGGCGGCGUGCCUAAUACAUGCAAGUCGAACGAAGACUGUAGUAAUACUGUCUUAGUGGCGAACGGGUGAGUAACGCGUGGGUGACCUGCCCCGAAGUGUGGGAUAACAGUCCGAAAGGAUUGCUAAUACUGCAUAAUAUCCAAGAGAUUAGACGCUUUCGGAUUAAAGGAGUAAUUCGCUUCGGGAGGGGCCCGCGUCCCAUCAGCUAGUUGGUAAGGUAAUGGCUUACCAAGGCGAUGACGGGUAGGGGACCUGAGAGGGUGGCCCCCCACAAUGGAACUGAAACACGGUCCAUACACCUACGGGAGGCAGCAGUGGGGAAUAUUGGACAAUGGGCGCAAGCCUGAUCCAGCAACGCCGCGUGAGGGAUGACGGCCUUCGGUUGUAAACCUCUUUCAGUAGGACGAAGCGAAAGUGACGGUACCUACAGAAGAAGGACCGGCCGAACUACGUGCCAGCAGCCGCCGGUAAUAGUGUGUGUA
rnacentral:rRNA from 1 species